GGCAGAGCGGAGCUAAACACAGGCUGGUGGUCCUAGUGGAUGUGUGACCUCUGGGAGUCCAGAAGCUCCAGAUGGAUGGGCCUCAGUCUUCCAUGAUCCAGGAGAAACAUGCGGUCCUUCAUUUAGCUCUCAGAGGGACAGACGGUGCAGAACUCGCAUCAAUCAGUCCCAUUAAACGCUCUCACCUCCUG